ACCCAAUAGAUACCCAGGUAGUCCACGCCGUAAACGAUGUGUGCUAGCCGUCGGGGGUUAGGCUCUCGGUGGCGCCGCUAAACGCAUUAAGCACACCGCCUGGGGAGUACGGCCGCAAGGUUAAACUCAAAGGAAUUGACGGGGGCCCGCACAAGCGGUGGAGCAUGUGGUUUAAUUCGAAAGCAACGCGCAGAACCUUACCAGCCCUUGACAUGGGGAGUAUGGGCCUGAGAGAUCGGGGUCCUUCAGUUCGGCUGGCUCCCGCACAGGUGCUGCAUGGCUGUCGUCAGCUCGUGUCGUGAGAUGUUGGGUUAAGUCCCGCAACGAGCGCAACCCUCGUCCCUAGUUGCCAGCGAUCCGGUCGGGCACUCUAGGGAAACUGCCGGUGACAAGCCGGAGGAAGGCGGGGAUGACGUCAAGUCCUCAUGGCCCUUACGGGCUGGGCUACACACGUGCUACAAUGGCGGUGACAGUGGGCAGCGACCCCGCGAGGUAAGCCAAUCCCCAAAAGCCGUCUCAGUUCGGAUUGCACU
rnacentral:rRNA from 1 species